rnacentral:tRNA from 1 species
GUUGGGGUGGCAGAGUCCGGAUUAUUGCAAAAGACUUAAACACUUUAAACAGGGGUUCAACUCCUCUCCUCAACU